rnacentral:lncRNA from 1 species
AUAUGUCUAGUAAGCGUCCCAGUCCCCCUAAAUUACCUCCGGUCAAACGUUUAAAAGUUUCAUUACAAAGUUUGCACUUAACUCUAUCAGUACCUUCUAUUAUUUCAAAAACACUUAAAUCUAUCAGUACCUUCUAUUAUUUCAAAAAAUUUCCAAACCGGACUUCUUUUUUUACGAGUAGAAGUUGGAGUAACUGGUGGUCUUCUACCCCUUGUAGCACUAGCAACUCCAACUCCAAUACUACCAACAUUU